CAGAAAAAUGCUGAUCUCUGAUUGGUUAAUACAUGUCCAAUCACAGUUUAGAAUUCCCAACGGCAUACAAAUGUUUAUUUGUUCUAUCAGAUAAGGAUUUUCAUUGAGAACUUGGUGCAAUGGGGGAGAACAAAUCAAUAUAUAAACAUUUCUCUGCAACCUAACCUAACCUAAAUAAAGUACCUGAAUGUUUUUAUGAUUUAUAUAAUCAUUUUAAUAAUGCAUUUAAUAAUAUUGGAAAUAUUUUUUCGGAAGAAGAAAAGCUGAGCAUAUAUACUUGUUUAGAAAAUCGUAAAACUAUGGCUCUACGGCCCAUACAUUAUGCAGCUAACUUACUUGAUCCUCAAUUAAAAGGAAAAAAUUUAAAUAGGUCAGAAAUGGUUGAAGCUCAUCAAUUAAUUAUAAAUCUUGGUGAUAAAUUAAAUCUAAAUAGUGAUAAGGUAUUAAAAGAUUUAACAGAUUAUGUGUCAGAAUCAAGUAUGUGGAGUUACGACUACGUUAAGCGAGCAAGUAUAAUCACUUCAGCAUGUCAAUGGUGGCAAAGUAUUUGCCAAAAAUCUUCGUUGAGCAAAAUAGCUGUGGCUAUAUUGACUUUACCUGCAACAUCAGCUGCAACUGAGCAUGAAUAAGUUGAAUUUUUAGAAGAAGAAUUUACUCAAGACUAAUUAGUGAUGUUGAUGGAAUUGAAUCAGUAUUAGACUUGUUAUUUCCUAAUGAAAUAUGUCAAUUAUUA